rfam:Toxocara canis scaffold3025, whole genome shotgun sequence.
GCGGCAAUAGCUCAGUGGUAGAACCCCCGCUUCGUAUGCGGGAGACUCGGGUUUGAUUCCCGGCUGCUUCC